GCCGUGGUGCGGUGGCGCGUGCCUGUAAUUCUCAAGUUACCGGGAGGGUUGAGACUGGUGGAUCGUUUGAGCUCAGGAUCUCUGAGGCUACAGUGGACUUGUGAUCGGGUGUCUGCACUAAGUCGGGUUUUACGUAUGUGCUCCUGGGGCUGAGGCCGGACCACCAGGUGUCUAAGGAGGUUGCACGGCCCAGGUCGGGAACGGAGCGGCCAAGCCCCCGUGGCGCUCAGUAGUGGGAUCGCGCCUGUGAAUAGAGGCUGCUAGUGCAGCGAGUAUACAGUGGGACCCAGUCUUUU
rnacentral:SRP_RNA from 1 species